GAUCAUGGCUCAGGAUGAACGCUAGCUACAGGCUUAACACAUGCAAGUCGAGGGGCAGCGGGAAGGAAGCUUGCUUUCUUCGCCGGCGACCGGCGCACGGGUGAGUAACGCGUAUCGAACCUGCCUCAUACUCGGGAAUAACCUUGCGAAAGUAAGACUAAUACCCGAUUGUUUUCAUCUCUUCGCAUGAAGAGUUGAACUAAAGUUUUUCGGUAUGAGAUGGCGAUGCGUCCCAUUAGCUUGG
rnacentral:rRNA from 1 species